rnacentral:rRNA from 1 species
UACAGAGGGUGCAAGCGUUAAUCGGAAUUACUGGGCGUAAAGCGUGCGCAGACGGUUAUGUAAGUCAGAUGUGAAAGCCCCGGGCUUAACCUGGGAAUGGCAUUUGAGACUGCAUAGCUAGGGUGCGGAAGAGGGAAGCGGAAUUUCCGGUGUAGCGGUGAAAUGCGUAGAUAUCGGAAGGAACACCAGUGGCGAAAGCGGCUUCCUGGUCCAGCACCGACGUUCAGGCACGAAAGCGUGGGGAGCAAACAGG